GACAGAGGGUGCAAACGUUGCUCGGAAUUACUGGGCGUAAAGCGCGUGUAGGUGGAUUGGUGUGUCAGAUGUGAAAUCCCUGGGCUCAACCCAGGAACUGCACCUGAAACUACCAGUCUUGAGUGGUGGAGAGGGAAGUGGAAUUCCUGGUGUAGAGGUGAAAUUCGUAGAUAUCAGGAGGAACACCAGUGGCGAAGGCGGCUUCCUGGACACCAACUGACGCUGAGACGCGAAGGCCAGGGGAGCAAACGGG
rnacentral:rRNA from 1 species